rnacentral:rRNA from 1 species
UACGUAGGGUGCGAGCGUUGUCCGGAAUUAUUGGGCGUAAAGAGCUCGUAGGCGGUUUGUCGCGUCGGCCGUGAAAUCUCCACGCUUAACGUGGAGCGUGCGGUCGAUACGGGCAGACUUGAGUUCGGUAGGGGGAGACUGGAAUUCCUGGUGUAGCGGUGAAAUGCGCAGAUAUCGGGAGGAACACCGGUGGCGAAGGCGGUUCUCUGGGCCUUACCUGACGCUGAGGAGCGAAAGCGUGGGUAGCAAACAGG